UGCAGUCGAGGGGCAGCAUCAUCAAAGCUUGCUUUGAUGGAUGGCGACCGGCGCACGGGUGAGUAACACGUAUCCAACCUGCCGACAACACUGGGAUAGCCUUUCGAAAGAAAGAUUAAUACCGGAUGGCAUAGUUUUCCCGCAUGGGAUAAUUAUUAAAGAAUUUCGGUUGUCGAUGGGGAUGCGUUCCAUUAGGCAGUUGGCGGGGUAACGGCCCACCAAACCAACGAUGGAUAGGGGUUCUGAGAGGAAGGUCCCCCACAUUGGAACUGAGACACGGUCCAAACUCCUACGGGAGGCAGCAGUGAGGAAUAUUGGUCAAUGGACGAGAGUCUGAACCAGCCAAGUAGCGUGAAGGAUGACUGCCCUAUGGGUUGUAAACUUCUUUUAUACGGGAAUAAAGUUAGCCACGUGUGGCUUUUUGUACGUACCGUAUGAAUAAGGAUCGGCUAACUCCGUGCCAGCAGCCGCGGUAAUACGGAGGAUCCGAGCGUUAUCCGGAUUUAUUGGGUUUAAAGGGAGCGUAGGCGGGUUGUUAAGUCAGUUGUGAAAGUUUGCGGCUCAACCGUAAAAUUGCAGUUGAUACUGGCGACCUUGAGUGCAACAGAGGUAGGCGGAAUUCGUGGUGUAGCGGUGAAAUGCUU
rnacentral:rRNA from 1 species